AUUGAACGCUGGCGGCAUGCCUUACACAUGCAAGUCGAACGGUAACAGGUCUUCGGAUGCUGCCGAGUGGCGAACGGGUGAGUAAUACAUCGGAACGAGCCUAGUAGUGGGGGAUAACUACUCGAAAGAGUGGCUAAUACCGCAUGAGAUCUAAGGAUGAAAGCAGGGGAUCGCAAGACCUUGUGCUACUAGAGCGGCCGAUGGCAGAUUAGGUAGUUGGUGGGAUAAAAGCUUACCAAGCCGACGAUCUGUAGCUGGUCUGAGAGGACGAUCAGCCACACUGGGACUGAGACACGGCCCAGACUCCUACGGGAGGCAGCAGUGGGGAAUUUUGGACAAUGGGCGCAAGCCUGAUCCAGCAAUGCCGCGUGCAGGAUGAAGGCCUUCGGGUUGUAAACUGCUUUUGUACGGAACGAAAAGCCCUGGGUUAGUACCCUGGGGUCAUGACGGUACCGUAAGAAUAAGCACCGGCUAACUACGUGCCAGCCGCCGCCGUAAUAC
rnacentral:rRNA from 1 species